UGAACGCUAGCGGCAGGCUUAACACAUGCAAGUCGAGGGGUAACGAUGGCUUCGGCCAGGCGACGACCGGCGCACGGGUGAGUAUCGCGUUUGUAACCUACCUUUAACUGGAGAAUAGCCCGAAGAAAUUCGGAUUAAUACUCCAUAAUACUAUAGUCUGGCAUCAUUUUAUAGUUAAAGCUCCGGCGGUUAAAGAUGGGCAUGCGUAACAUUAGUUUGUUGGUGAGGUAACGGCUCACCAAGACUACGAUGUUUAGGGGGUCUGAGAGGAUGGUCCCCCACACUGGUACUGAGACACGGACCAGACUCCUACGGGAGGCAGCAGUGAGGAAUAUUGGUCAAUGGGCGCAAGCCUGAACCAGCCAUGCCGCGUGAAGGAUGACGGCCCUAUGGGUUGUAAACUUCUUUUAUAAGGGAAGAAACCCCCGAACGUGUUCGGGGUUGACGGUACCUUACGAAUAAGCAUCGGCUAACUCC
rnacentral:rRNA from 1 species